AGUGAACGCUGGCGGUAGGCCUAACACAUGCAAGUCGAACGGCAGCACAGUAAGAGCUUGCCCUUACGGGUGGCGAGUGGCGGACGGGUGAGGAAUACAUCGGAAUCUACUUUUUCUGGGGGGAUAACGUAGGGAAACUUACGCUAAUACCGCAUACGACCUACGGGUGAAAGCAGUGGAGCUUCGGACCUUGCGCGAUUGAAUGAGCCGAUGUCGGAUUAGCUAGUUGGCGGGGUAAAGGCCCACCAAGGCGACGAUCCGUAGCUGGUCUGAGAGGAUGAUCAGCCACACUGGAACUGAGACACGGUCCAGACUCCUACGGGAGGCAGCAGUGGGGAAUAUUGGACAAUGGGCGCAAGCCUGAUCCAGCCAUACCGCGUGGGUGAAGAAGGCCUUCGGGUUGUAAAGCCCUUUUGUUGGGAAAGAAAAGCAGCAGGUUAAUACCCCGCUGUUCUGACGGUACCCAAAGAAUAAGCACCGGCUAACUUCGUG
rnacentral:rRNA from 1 species